UACGUAGGGUGCAAGCGUUGUCCGGAAUUAUUGGGCGUAAAGAGCUCGUAGGCGGUUUGUCGCGUCUGCCGUGAAAGUCCGGGGCUCAACUCCGGAUCUGCGGUGGGUACGGGCAGACUAGAGUGAUGUAGGGGAGACUGGAAUUCCUGGUGUAGCGGUGAAAUGCGCAGAUAUCAGGAGGAACACCGAUGGCGAAGGCAGGUCUCUGGGCCGUAACUGACGCUGAGGAGCGAAAGCAUGGGGAGCGAACAGG
rnacentral:rRNA from 1 species